rnacentral:sRNA from 1 species
GAUCCGGAUCGAUCCGGAUCAAUUCUGAUCGAUCCGGAUCGAUCCGGA